rnacentral:rRNA from 3 species
UUUAAUUGAAGAGUUUGAUCAUGGCUCAGAUUGAACGCUGGCGGCAGGCCUAACACAUGCA